CGUACACUCCUACGGCAGGCAGCAGUGGGGAAUAUUGGACAAUGGGCGCAAGCCUGAUCCAGCCAUGCCGCGUGAGUGAUGAAGGCCCUAGGGUUGUAAAGCUCUUUCACCGGUGAAGAUAAUGACGGUAACCGGAGAAGAAGCCCCGGCUAACUUCGUGCCAGCAGCCGCGGUAAUACGAAGGGGGCUAGCGUUGUUCGGAUUUACUGGGCGUAAAGCGCACGUAGGCGGACUAUUAAGUCAGGGGUGAAAUCCCGGGGCUCAACCCCGGAACUGCCUUUGAUACUGGUAGUCUUGAGUUCGAGAGAGGUGAGUGGAAUUCCGAGUGUAGAGGUGAAAUUCGUAGAUAUUCGGAGGAACACCAGUGGCGAAGGCGGCUCACUGGCUCGAUACUGACGCUGAGGUGCGAAAGCGUGGGGAGCAAACAGGAUUAGAUACCCCUGUAGUCCCAUG
rnacentral:rRNA from 1 species